rnacentral:rRNA from 1 species
UACGGAGGGUGCGAGCGUUGUCCGGAAUCACUGGGCGUAAAGGGCGCGUAGGCGGCUGGGGAAGUCGGCGGUGAAAGCCCGGAGCUCAACUCCGGGUCGGCCGUCGAGACUCCUCGGCUCGAGCUCACUAGAGGCAGAUGGAAUUCCGGGCGUAGCGGUGGAAUGCGUAGAGAUCCGGAAGAACACCGGUGGCGAAGGCGGUCUGCUGGGGUGAGGCUGACGCUGAGGCGCGACAGCGUGGGGAGCAAACAGG